rnacentral:rRNA from 1 species
AGUGAACGCUGGCGGUAGGCCUAACACAUGCAAGUCGAACGGCAGCACAGGAGAGCUUGCUCUCUGGGUGGCGAGUGGCGGACGGGUGAGGAAUACAUCGGAAUCUACUCUGUCGUGGGGGAUAACGUAGGGAAACUUACGCUAAUACCGCAUACGACCUACGGGUGAAAGUGGGGGACCGCAAGGCCUCACGCGAUUGAAUGAGCCGAUGUCGGAUUAGCUAGUUGGCGGGGUAAAGGCCCACCAAGGCGACGAUCCGUAGCUGGUCUGAGAGGAUGAUCAGCCACACUGGAACUGAGACACGGUCCAGACUCCUACGGGAGGCAGCAGUGGGGAAUAUUGGACAAUGGGCGCAAGCCUGAUCCAGCCAUACCGCGUGAGUGAAGAAGGCCCUCGGGUUGUAAAGCUCUUUUGUUGGGAAAGGAAUCCUGUUGGCUAAUACCCGGCGGGGAUCGACGUUACCCAAAGAAUAAGCACCGGCUAACUUCGUGCCAGCAGCCGCGGU